rnacentral:rRNA from 1 species
CGGCGUGCUUAACACAUGACAAGUCGAACGAGACGAUUUAGAAGCUUGUCUUUUAUUGAGUCGAGUGGCAAACGGGUGAGUAACGCGUAGACAACCUGCCGCAAAGAUGGGGACAACAGUCCGAAAGGACUGCUAAUACCGAAUGUUGUAUCUCCUCCGCAUGGAAGAGAUAUUAAAGAUGGCCUCUACUUGUAAGCUAUCGCUUUGCGAUGGGUCUGCGUCUGAUUAGCUAGUUGGUGGGGCAACGGCCUACCAAGGCGACGAUCAGUAGCCGGUCUGAGAGGAUGAACGGCCACAUUGGAACUGAGACACGGUCCAGACUCCUACGGGAGGCAGCAGUGGGGAAUCUUCCGCAAUGGGCGAAAGCCUGACGGAGCAACGCCGCGUGAGUGAAGAAGGUCUUCGGAUCGUAAAGCUCUGUUGUCGGGGACGAAUGUUGAGACCUAGAACAUAGGUUUCAAAUGACGGUACCUGACGAGGAAGCCACGGCUAACUACGUG